CACAAGCAAACUAACUCAUUUCGAUUUUUUUUUUUUUUUUAACAAUAUAAGCAGUUGAAGUAGUUUAACUACCUCUUAAUCAAUGUCUAAGAAAAAGGGAUAUGCAAAGAAAUCACAGAUUGUAUACAUCAAACCAGUCCCAUGGCAAUGCAGAAGCCCACAUGAAUAAAACAAGACAGCCAGGUACCACAAGCAAACUAACUCAUUUCGGGAAAAUACAAGUCCUCAAGGUUGCAUGCAAACACGGUAAAAUAGUAAUGCCCUCCAACAUGCCACUACCCAAGCUGGAAAAGCGGAAAGCCAGCAGACAAGACAUCUAAUAUUCACAUGAACCAGUCAUUUAUGCAGAUAAGUAGCGAGUCAUC
rnacentral:misc_RNA from 1 species